AUGGAGGUAUAUCUCCAGAAAAUGCCCAACAUGGUGGUCCUGAGGUCAGUUGUCUUCCCUACAUAGAUGGAUGUUGGGAUCUAGCUGACCUCUCCUGUAGUCAGACUUCUGAGCGGACCUGGACCUUUUUGCAUGCUGCUUGUGCUGUUCUGCUAACAACAACAUACUUCUUUUCUUGACAGCAGGCUCAGAGUUGGAUUCUUCAGCUGUAACAGUUGCUGGCCGUAGUAUCCGUGUUGGACAUGGUCUGUCUCCAGUGUCUGUUGCUAGGGAAAGGCCAUCAGGACUAGGCUUGGUGAUCAGCUGAAAUUCCUGGGUGGUCAGUCUUCUGGUCAGAGCUGGUCUCUCUUCUCUGGUGACAGGAUCUGGUGUAAAAAGUCCUGUUUUCACCUUUACCCCUGACCUGGAUGUAUAUAAUUGACGUUGGUGACACACAUGGAGGUAUAUCUCCAGAAAAUGCCCAACAUGGUGGGUUGAAACUUUUACAUUUUGCUUCUCAGAUGUUGAUCUUGGCUAGGUGAAAUGGAAAUUUGCAGAUGAAACUUUGGGACUUAGUUAUGAAUUUUAAUGUUACAAUGAAAUAUAUAGUGAAAUUAAUUGUGGUCUUAGGCCAUAUGUUGCUGACCGGAAGUGACCAACACAAACCGGAAGUAAUCCCCGUAAACCGAAAGUAGGCUUUGCUAAUGUAAACAAGUGAAUGUCUAUUUAUUUAUUUAUUUAUUGUUAAUUCAGUCAAAGGCAUAAUAAAAUUACACAUUACAAAUAUUACAUAAGCAAUUCGAUAACAAUUAGAAUCAGUAAUAAAUUAUUGUGGAUUUCUUAAAAUUAUUAAUUAUAAAAUAUAAGGUAUCACAGAAGAAUUUCACAUACCUUAAAAUAUCAUAGUUUAAACUAGUAUCGCAAAAUUAAAUUACACUGUGCUUGCAAAUCUUCUAAGUAAAAUAGUUGAAAAUUUAGAAAUAUCAAUAAAAAAGAGAGAAAUUUGAUAAAACCAGAUGAAAAUGCCUUUGGCCUUGGAUUACCCAUAAAGCCUAUAAAAUAGGCUUAUUUCCAAUGGGGUCCAUUUAAGGUGUAAUCCUUCCGGUUGGGAUGUAAUGCCAUGGAAAUGAGAUUGAAUUAAUUUUCUUUAUUUAAUUUUCAUAAACUAUAAAUGAAACAGAGCACUACAUUUGAAAGAAAAUUACAUUUACAUAGAAGAUAUGAAAACAAAUACUGAAAGUGAAUAAACUGUUUUGGCACAUUUCAGGGCAUUUAUGAAAAAGGAUGGGAUUUGAAGAGGUAUUACAUAAUAAUAUAACAUGAUCAAUAAUAUAACAUAAUAUGAACAAUAAUAUAACAUCACUACCCGUUCAACCAGACGCAAAGAAGUGGAGGUUGAGCUCAAUAGUAGACGAAGGGGUUGUCAAAUUCACCUUUUGAUUGUAGCAUCAGAAAUUGUUUUACUUUGUUUUUAAAAUGAUAUUUAUUUUUAGAAUUUUUAAUAUUUUCUGGAAGGGAAUUCCAAUCUUUUGCGGCCGAAGUAGAAAAGGAAGAACUUUCUAUGCUUUUAAUGUUUUUUAUUGAGAAGUUCAUUGUUCCAGAUCUAGUACCACAACAGUUUUUGUUUAGAGAGAAAAGUUCAUAUAAAUAUUGUGGACAUUUACCAUUAUAGAUGUUAAAAGUAUGGUUGAGGCGAAGUUGACGGACCCUUCGUUCUACAUUUAGCAUGCCUAGUUUUUCUAAUUCAGUGACAGUGAUCCUUGUUCUGUUAUCAAGGUUAAGAAUAAAGCGAACCAUUUUGUUUUGGGUAGUCUGGAGUAUACCUUUGAGUUUCUUAGUAAUUCCUUCAUACCAUGAGGUGCACGCAUAAUAAAAGUGACACUGAAUCAGAGCAGAACAUAAAGUUUUUCGAGAGUUUAGAGAUAGACAUUUACUAUUUCUGUACAAAAAUUUAAGUCUUUGGUUGAUUUUGUGGAUAAUGUUGGAGACAAUUUCCUCUCCAGAUAGAAAUUUAUCUAUCGUAACACCGAGGUAUUUUACUGAAGAUUGCGAAACAAUGUUUUGACCGUUACAUGAAAUUUUGAAAUCAUCCUCAGGUACUUGUCCUAAUUUUCUCUGUGGUCCAAAUAAAAUACUUUCUGUUUUACCUAAAUGUAAUGAUAGUUUGUUGUCAACAAGCCAAUCAUGACAUGAUUCCAAAACUAAGGAUAAUUUUGAAGAGAUUGUUUUGGGACAGUGAUGUGAAAAAAUAAUUGCACUGUCUCAGCAUACAGAAGUAGUUUACAGGAAAUGUCUAUACUUAUCCGCAUGUCAUUUACAUAAAUCAGAAAUAAAAGAGGGCCCAGUAAGCUACAUGUCAAACUCAAUACUGAGUCAAGCCUAUGAUUGCUCAUGAUUAUUUUCCCUUUUUAUGUAAAUAACUUUUAUGUUGCAGUAGUCUUAGUCAGCGAACAUGUUAUAUAUUCUGUUUUAAUCACCAGUUUCAAUUCAAACUUUUAGAGAGCUAAACAGCUGGUACAUUUGUAUGACGAACUAUAUUCCCAGGUUGUGUUUACUUCUCACUGCUAAGCAUUAGGUAUUAGUUGCUAAUUUCCCGCCUUAUUUUCACAACUGUAACUAUGUCAUAAGAAUGUAACACAAUACAUUUUCCUUAACAUAAGCCUUAAUAAUGUAGUUCAAUUUUAUAUGAUUGUAACUAUGUAUUGAUAGGAUGCCUACUGUAU